GGCUGAUGCAAAACCAAAGUAGAGAAAGUGAGAGAAAGAUUGAGGAGAGAAAAAGAAAAGACCAUAGGAAUGAGAAGAGAGGGACUGAGGGAAAUUGGGAAGAUGGAUAAGAAAGAGCUGAAUAGAUUAGAGGAGGUAAAGGAAGAAAGGAGACAGAAGAGACGAAAUCUGAAAAGGAGGAGAAAACUCAAUAUUCAUUCAACUUUUAUCUUAAAACUGAAGG
rnacentral:misc_RNA from 1 species